rnacentral:tRNA from 1 species
AUCGCUCAAGUGUUACGGCAGCACAACAGAUUCCAAACCUGUUGGACGGGGUUCAAUUCCUCGGAGCGGUG